UGACAACAGAAGAAAAGAAUUUAUCAACAGUCUUCGACUGUACAGGUCAUUCUAUGGCAGCCUGGCUGAUCAGCUUUGUGUUAAUGAAUUAGCUGCUGUGGAUGGGCUGCCCUGCUGGAAUGGAGAAGAUCUAGUAAAAAGGUAUUUUAUGUUUCAUGGUCUGUGAAAACAUAACUGCUUGUCAUCCUCCUUUUCUUUUCCUGAAUCUUGAAUGAAUUACUUCAGUUUUAACUUUGCCACACAAGUUAGAGAGUAAUUCUUUCUCUUUAGUUUGUUCAAAGAAAAUCUGAUUCUUUUUGACAUUUUAAAAAUAUAAUAUU